rnacentral:rRNA from 1 species
AGCGAACGUUUGCGGCGGGCUUAACACAUGCAAGUCGAACGGGCUGUUCCUUCGGGGGUCAGUCAGUGGCGCACGGGUGCGUAACACGUAGGUAAUCAACCCUCUGGUUGGGGAUAACACGUUCGAAAGGAGUGGCUAAUACCCGGUAUGGCGCAGCGGUCUUCGGAUCGCGGCGAGAAAGACCCGCAAGGGUUGCCAGAGGACGAGCCUGCGGCCCAUCAGCUAGUUGGCGAGGUAACGGCUCACCAAGGCGAAGACGGGUAGCUGGUCGUGAGAGGAUGAUCCAGCCACACUGGAACUGAGACACGGUCCAGACUCCUACGGGAGGCAGCAGUGGGGAAUAUUGCGCAAUGGGCGAAAGCCUGACGCA